rnacentral:rRNA from 1 species
GACGAACGCUGGCGGUGUGCUUAACACAUGCAAGUCGAACGGUAAGGCCCUUUCGGGGGUACACGAGUGGCGAACGGGUGAGUAACACGUGAGUAACCUGCCUCAUCUCUGGGAUAACAGUCGGAAACGGUUGCUAAUACUGGAUAUGAGCUUGCAAGGCAUCUUGUGGGUUGGAAAGAUUUUUUUGGUUGGGGAUGGACUCGCGGCCUAUCAGCUUGUUGGUGAGGUAGUGGCUCACCAAGGCUUCGACGGGUAGCCGGCCUGAGAGGGCGACCGGCCACAGUGGGACUGAGAUACGGCCCAAACUCCUACGGGAGGCAGCAGUGGGGAAGAUUGCACAAUGGACGGAAGUCUGAUGCAGCAACGCCGCGGGCGGGAGGACGGCCUUCGGGUUGGAAACCGCUUUCAAUUGUGACGAAGCUUUUUGUGACGGUAGCAGUAGAAGAAGCACCGGCUAACUACGUG